rnacentral:rRNA from 1 species
UACGGGGGGGGCAAGCGUUGUUCGGAAUUACUGGGCGUAAAGAGCGCGCAGGCGGUCGAUCAAGUCGAGUGUGAAAGCCCCCGGCUCAACUGGGGGAGGGUCAUUCGAUACUGAUCGACUCGAAGGCAGGAGAGGGUAGUGGAAUUCCCGGUGUAGUGGUGAAAUGCGUAGAUAUCGGGGGGAACACCAGUGGCGAAGGCGGCUAACUGGUCCAGAUCUGACGCUGAGGUGCGAAAGCGUGGGGAGCAAACAGGG